GAUGAACGCUAGCUACAGGCUUAACACAUUCAAGUCGAGGGGAAACGAUAGAGAAAGCUUGCUUUUUCUAGGCGUCGACCGGCGCACGGGUGAGUAACGCAUAUCCAACCUGCCCACCACUUGGGGAUAACCUUGCGAAAGUAAGACUAAUACCCAAUGAUAUCUCAAGAAGACAUCUGAAUGAGAUUAAAGAUUUAUCGGUGAUGGAUGGGGAUGCGUCUGAUUAGCUUGUUGGCGGGGUAACGUCCCACCAUGGGGACGAUCAGUAGCGGAUCUGAGAGGAAGGUCCCCCACAUUGCAACUGAGACCAGGUCCAAACUACUACCGGAGGCAGCAGUGAGGAAUAUUGGUCAAUGGGCGAGAGCCUGAACCAGCCAAGUAGCGUGCAGGAUGACGUCCCUAUGGGUUGUAACCUGCUUUUAUAUGGGAAUAAAGUUAGUCUCGUGAGACUUUUUGCAUGUACCUUAUGAAUAAGCACCAGCUAAUUCCGUGCCAGCAGCCGCAGUAA
rnacentral:rRNA from 1 species